UUUUUUUUUUUUUUUUUUGGCUUGAGUGUAAAUAUGGCUAAUAGAAAAAAAGGCAUAUCUAACAUUAGGAGCUUUUCACAAAUCUUAAGACAUUUGUUGUCAUAGCUUGAAACUCAGUCUACCUCUAUCAUAGUCGCCUCCACCAACUUAGUCAAAUCAAGUUAUGCUUUUCUUUGUCAAUCUUGAUAAAUCUUGCUAGGUUAUAGAUUCUGGAGUAAACAAAAAUAUGACAGCUUCUUCAAAUAAAUUCUCUAUAUGCUCAAGAAAAGAAAAAGUCCGUAUAGCAAACGAUUCUUUAACCACAAUUUCUGGUUAGAUUCUAUCACAUGCACUCCCAAUAUAAGUCUCAAUUUAGUUCUUUAAGUUCCAAACUUACCUAUUAGUCUUUUAUCUAUCAGUUCCAUUAUCCAAGCCCUUAAUUGCAAAAUUAAAUUUUUUUUUCCUACUCAUCGCAUAUUUCAAGAUUUAAGAACAAGAAAAACAACUGGCAAUGGUAGAUUGCGAAAUGAUCUAUAUAUGUUAGAUGAUGGGUGUGGUCCCUCAAAUCCUGGAGCAAACCACGCUUUAUUAGGAAAGCCAAUGAUUGCUAAUAAAAAGAUUAUCCAGUGGCAUAAGAGA
rnacentral:misc_RNA from 1 species